rnacentral:rRNA from 1 species
GGACGAACGCUGGCGGCGUGCUUAACACAUGCAAGUCGAACGGAAAGGCCUCUUUCGGGGGGUACUCGAGUGGCGAACGGGUGAGUAACACGUGAGUAACCUGCCCUUGACUUUGGGAUAACUUCAGGAAACUGGGGCUAAUACCGGAUAGGAGCUCCUGCCGCAUGGUGGGGGUUGGAAAGUUUCGGCGGUUGGGGAUGGACUCGCGGCUUAUCAGCUUGUUGGUGGGGUAGUGGCUUACCAAGGCUUUGACGGGUAGCCGGCCUGAGAGGGUGACCGGCCACAUUGGGACUGAGAUACGGCCCAGACUCCUACGGGAGGCAGCAGUGGGGAAUAUUGCACAGUGGGUGGAAGCCUGAUGCAGCAACGCCGUGUGCGGGAUGACGGCCUUCGGGUUGUAAACCGCUUUCGCUCAUGACGAAGCUUUGUGUGACGGUAGUGGGUAAAGAAGCACCGGCUAACUACGUG